rnacentral:rRNA from 1 species
AGCAGCCGCGGUAAUUCCAGCUCCAAUAGCGUAUAUUAAAGUUGUUGCAGUUAAAAAGCUCGUAGUUGAAUUUCGGGAUCAAUACGUCGGUCGUGCUUAGGUACGUACUGGCGUAAUUGAUUUCUCCCUUCUGACGAACCAUGAUGUCAUUAACUUGGUGUCAUGGGGAAAUCAGGACUGUUACUUUAGAAAAAAUUAGAGUGUUUAAAGCAGGCUCACGCUUGAAUACAUUAGCAUGGAAUAAUGAAAUAGGACGUUCGAUCCUAUUUUGUUGGUUUUUAGGAUCAACGUAAUGAUUAAUAGGGAUAGUUGGGGGCAUUAGUAUUCAAUUGUCAGAGGUGAAAUUCUUGGAUUUAUUGAAGACUAACUACUGCGAAAGCAUUUGCCAAGGAUGUUUUCAUUAAUCAAGAACGAAAGUUAGGGGAUCGAAGACGAUCAGAUACCGUCGUAGUCUUAACCAUAAACUAAUGCCGACUAGGGAAUCGGAUGAUGUUAAUUUUUAAUGAACUCAUUCGGCGUC